CGUGGACAACCUGCCUCAAGGCUGGGCAUAACAUUUGGAAACAGAUGCUAAUACCGAAUGAAACUUAGUGUCGCAUGACACGAAGUUAAAAGGCGCUUUGGCGUCACCUAGAGAUGGAUCCGCGGUGCAUUAGUUAGUUGGUGGGGUAAAGGCCUACCAAGACAAUGAUGCAUAGCCGAGUUGAGAGACUGAUCGGCCACAUUGGGACUGAGACACGGCCCAAACUCCUACGGGAGGCUGCAGUAGGGAAUCUUCCACAAUGGGCGAAAGCCUGAUGGAGCAACGCCGCGUGUGUGAUGAAGGCUUUCGGGUCGUAAAGCACUGUUGCAUGGGAAGAACAGCUAGAAUAGGGAAUGAUUUUAGUUUGACGGUACCAUACCAGAAAGGGACGGCUAAAUACGUGCCAGCAGCCGCGGUAAUACGUAUGUCCCGAGCGUUAUCCGGAUUUAUUGGGCGUAAAGCGAGCGCAGACGGUUGAUUAAGUCUGAUGUGAAAGCCCGGAGCUCAACUCCGGAAUGGCAUUGGAAACUGGUUAACUUGAGUGCAGUAGAGGUAAGUGGAACUCCAUGUGUAGCGGUGGAAUGCGUAGAUAUAUGGAAGAACACCAGUGGCGAAGGCGGCUUACUGGACUGUAACUGACGUUGAGGCUCGAAAGUGUGGGUAGCAAACAGGAUUAGAUACCCUGGUAGUCCACACCGUAGACGAUGAACACUAGGUGUUAGGAGGUUUCCGCCUCUUAGUGC
rnacentral:rRNA from 1 species